AUUGAACGCUGGCGGCAGGCCUAACACAUGCAAGUCGAGCGAGCGGCGGACGGGUGAGUAAUGUGUGGGAAACUACCUGAUGGAGGGGGGUAAAUACUGGAAAAGGUAGCUAAUACCGCAUACCAUAAGAGGUGAACAGAUGGGAGUAGCUAGUAGGUGGGGUAACGGCUCACCGAGGGGACGAUCCCUAGCUGGUCUGAGAGGAUGACCAGCCACACUGGAACUGAGACACGGUCCAGACUCCUACGGGAGGCAGCAGUGGGGAAUAUUGCACAAUGGGCGCAAGCCUGAUGCAGCCAUGCCGCGUGUGUGAAGAAGGCCUUCGGGUUGUAAAGCACUUUCAGCGGGGAGGCGUUACCCGCAGAAGAAGCACCGGCUAACUCCGUGCCAGCAGCCGCGGUAAUUC
rnacentral:rRNA from 1 species